UUGCCGCGUGUUGCCUCGGCGGUGAGGUCCGCGGGGGGGCGGCGCUACGGCGCUGCCCCUCCACGAACCCCCGCCGGCCGCGCCUUACUCUUAAUUUGCAAAGCGGACUGUACGAUCUGAUUAAUCUUGAUAAACAAGUCAAAACUUUCAACAACGGAUCUCUUGGUUCUGGCAUCGAUGAAGAACGCAGCGAAAUGCGAUAAGUAAUGUGAAUUGCAGAAUUCAGUGAAUCAUCGAAUCUUUGAACGCACAUUGCGCCCGGCAGCAAUCUGCCGGGCAUGCCUGUCCGAGCGUCAUUUCUCCCCUCGAGCGCGGUUCGGCCCCUAGCGGGCCGGCCGCCGCCCGGUGUUGGGGCACUGCGGGCCACAGCGCCUGCAGGCCCUUAAAUGAAGUGGCGGUCCCGCCGCGGCGCCCCCUGCGUAGUAGUAAAGCACCUCGCAUCGGGUCCCGGCGAAGACCAGCCGUCGAACCUUUCUCUUGAUGGUUUGACCUCGGAUCAGGUAGGGAUACCCGCUGAACUUAA
rnacentral:rRNA from 1 species